rnacentral:rRNA from 1 species
AGUGAACGCUGGCGGUAGGCCUAACACAUGCAAGUCGAACGGCAGCACAGUAAGAGCUUGCUCUUCCGGGUGGCCAGUGGCGGACGGGUGAGGAAUACAUCGGAAUCUACUUUUUCGUGGGGGAUAACGUAGGGAAACUUACGCUAAUACCGCAUACGACCUUCGGGUGAAAGCAGUGGAUCUUCGGGCCUUGCGCGAUUGGAUGAGCCGAUGUCGGAUUAGCUAGUUGGCGGGGUAUAGGCCCACCCAGGCGCCGAUCCGUAGCUGGUCUGGGAGGAUGAUUAGCCAGACUGGAAGUGUGACACGGUCCAGACUCCUACGGGAGGCAGCAGUGGGGAAUAUUGGACAAUGGGCGCAGGCCUGAUCCAGCCAUACCGCGUGGGUGAAGAAGGCCUUCGGGUUGUAAAGCCCUUUUGUUGGGAAAGAAAAGCAGCAGGUUAAUACCCCGCUGUUCUGACGGUACCCAAAGAAUAAGCAACGGCUAACUUCGUG